rnacentral:rRNA from 1 species
UACGUAGGGGGCAAGCGUUGUCCGGAAUUAUUGGGCGUAAAGAGCGCGUAGGCGGUCCGAUAAGUCGGCUGUGAAAGUCAGGGGCUCAACCCUUGGAAGCCGGCCGAUACUGUCGGACUAGAGUCCGGAAGAGGCAAGUGGAAUUCCCAGUGUAGAGGUGAAAUUCGUAGAUAUUGGGAAGAACACCGGUGGCGAAGGCGGCGACCUGGUCCAUUACUGACGCUGAGGCGCGACAGCGUGGGGAGCAAACAGG